rnacentral:tRNA from 1 species
GGAUUAAAUUUUUCAGGUUAUCAUAAAAUUAGUUAUUGGAGCUACCUGACUUUUAAUCAGGGUGUCCGGGGUUCAAAUCCCCGAUGGUUCACCA